rnacentral:rRNA from 1 species
CACGGACCAAGGAGUUUAGCGUGUACGCAAGUCAUUGGGUAAAUAAAACCCAUAGGCGAAAUGAAAGUAAAGAGUAGAGACUUGUAAAAAGUUUACUUUUUACAAUCUUCUCUUGAGGGAAGAUGGAAAUAUCAUACAGCAAUGUAUGAAAUUUUCCCGCACUCCCAGGGCGCUUGAAUCUUGCUUUGCAAGUCGAUGCGCACCUAGAGCGUACACGCUGAUACCCGAAAGAUGGUGAACUAUGCCUGGCCAGGACGAAGCCAGGGGAAACCCUGGUGGAGGUCCGCAGCGAUUCUGACGUGCAAAUCGAUCGUCGGAGCUGGGUAUAGGGGCGAAAGACCAAUCGAACCAUCUAGUAGCUGGUUCCCUCUGAAGUUUCCCUCAGGAUAGCUUGCACUCGGUUGAGACGAGUCUCAUCCGGUAGAGCGAAUGAUUAGAGGCAUUGGGGUCGAAACGACCUCAACCUAUUCUCAAACUCCAAAUAGAUGAGAUCCCCGGCUUUCUUAAAAGUGAAGCCGUGGGAAUAGGAUCAGAGUGCCAAGUGGGCCAAUUUUGGUAAGCAGAACAG